CUGACAGUGAAAUUCCAUGCAAUACCAACAAUGAUGUUGCCGACUAUGUAUCAGUUGAGGCAAACCUUGAAGAACCGGUAGUUGAAGAAAAACCUGAAGAAACAACGGUUGAGAAGAAACCUGAAGAACCAUCAAUUGAGGAGAAACGUGAAACACCAGCAUUUGAGAAGAAACCUGAAGAACCAAUAAUUGAGGAGAAACCUGAAGAACAAACAAUUGAAGAGGAGAAACAUGAAAGGAUAACUCUCCUGGAAAAGGUGAGGAUCAAGCAUUGUCACAAAGUUUAUCCAUCUUGUUAGUCGUGUAUACGAUACAAUUUACAUAUGCUUACCUACUGAAAGACUAAGUAAGACUUUAAAGUUCUUCUUGCAGAGUAUUCCAGUUGUAGUCCCGAACGACAAAACUGAAAGUAAAACUCCAAGCAUUACAAACAAUAAUGCUGCUCACUUUUCAGAAGUUGAGGAAAACCCUGAAGAACCUGCAGUAAAAGAAAAAACUGAAAAACCAGUUCUUGAAGAGAAACCUGAAGAACCAACAGUUGAAGAGAAAUCUGAAGAACCAGUUGAGGAGAAACCUGAAGAACCAACAGCUGAAGAGAAACCUGAAGAACCAGCAACUAAAGAAAAACAAGUGCUAGUAGGGGAGGAAACAGCUGAAGAACUAGCGCUUGAAGAGAAACCUGAAGAACUAACGAUUGAACAGACAGAUGAAGAACUAGUUGUUGAAGAUAAAACUGAAAAACCACCAAAUAAAGAGGAG
rnacentral:lncRNA from 1 species